rnacentral:rRNA from 1 species
UACGAAGGGGGCUAGCGUUGUUCGGAAUUACUGGGCGUAAAGCGUGCGCAGGCGGCUCUCAAGUCAGGGGUGAAAGCCCAGAGCUCAACUCUGGAAUUGCCUUUGAGACUGAGUGGCUUGAGUACGAGAGAGGUGAGUGGAAUUCCCAGUGUAGAGGUGAAAUUCGUAGAUAUUGGGAAGAACACCGGUGGCGAAGGCGGCUCACUGGCUCGUAACUGACGCUC